UCUGGGCAUGGUGGCUCAUGCCUGUAAUCCCAGCAGUUUGGGAGGCUGAGGCGGGAGGAUUGUGAAUUCAAAGCCAGCCUCACCAAAAGCAAGGUGCUAAGCAACUCAGUGAGACCCUGUCUCUA
rnacentral:sRNA from 1 species